rnacentral:rRNA from 1 species
GAGUUUGAUCCUGGCUCAGAACGAACGCUGGCGGCGUGCUUAACACAUGCAAGUCGAACGUGAUCCGGAGCUUGCUCUGGUGAAAGUGGCGCACGGGUGAGUAACGCGUGGAUAACCUGCCCUGGUAUCUGGGAUAACAUCUCGAAAGGGGUGCUAAUACCGGAUAAGCCUACGGGAUCUUCGGAUUCUGCAGGAAAAGGAGGCCUCUAUUUAUAAGCUUCCGUAUCAUGAUGGGUCCGCGUACCAUUAGCUAGUUGGUGGGGUAAUGGCCUACCAAGGCGACGAUGGGUAGCGGGUCUGAGAGGAUGAUCCGCCACACUGGAACUGAAACACGGACCAGACUCCUACGGGAGGCAGCAGUGAGGAAUAUUGGACAAUGGGCGCAAGCCUGAUCCAGCGACGCCGCGUGAGUGAUGAAGGCCUUUGGGUCGUAAAGCUCUGUCAGCAGGGAAGAACGGCCGUGCGGUUAAUACCCGUGCGGAUUGACGGUACCUGCAGAGGAAGCACCGGCUAACUCCGUGCCAGCAGCCGCGGUAAUAC